AUUGAACGCUGGCGGCAGGCCUAACACAUGCAAGUCGAACGAGUGGCGGAAUGGUGAGUAAUGUCUGGGAAACUGCCUGAUGGAGGGGGCUAACGACUGGAAACGGUAGCUACUACCGCAUAAACUCCGCUGGGCCCAGAUGGGAUGAGCUUGUUGGUGGGGUAACGGCUCACCAAGGCGACGAUCCCUAGCUGGUCUGAGAGGAUGACCAGCCACACGGGAACUGAGACACGGUCCAUACUCCUACGGGAGGCAGCAGUGGGGAAUAUUGCACAAUGGGCGCAAGCCUGAUGCAGCCAUGCCGCGGGUAUGAAGAAGGCCUUCGGGUUGUAAAGUACUUUCAGCGGAGAGGCGUUACCCGCAGAAGAAGCGCCGGCUAACUCCGUGCCAGCAGCCGCGGUAAUAC
rnacentral:rRNA from 1 species